rnacentral:rRNA from 1 species
CAGCAGCCGCGGUAAUACGGAGGGUCCGAGCGUUAUCCGGAAUUAUUGGGUUUAAAGGGUCCGCAGGCGGGCGAUAAACUCAAUGGUGAAAGUCUGUAGCUCAACUAUAGAAUUGCCUUUGAUACUGGUCGUCUUGAGUUAUAGUGAAGUUGCCGGAAUAUGUAGUGUAGCGGUGAAAUGCAUAGAUAUUACAUAGAACACCGAUUGCGAAGGCAGGUGACUAACUAUAUACUGACGCUGAGGGACGAAAGCGUGGGGAGCGAACAGGAUUAGAUACCCUGGUAGUCCACGCCGUAAACGAUGGAUACUAGCUGUCCGGAACCUUGAGUUCUGGGCGGCCAAGCGAAAGUGAUAAGUAUCCCACCUGGGGAGUACGUUCGCAAGAAUGAAACUCAAAGGAAUUGACGGGGGCCCGCACAAGCGGUGGAGCAUGUGGUUUAAUUCGAUGAUACGCGAGGAACCUUACCAGGGCUUAAAUGCAUUUUGACAGGGGUAGAGAUACCUUUUCCUUCGGGCAAUUUGCAAGGUGCUGCAUGGUUGUCGUCAGCUCGUGCCGUGAGGUGUCAGGUUAAGUCCUAUAACGAGCGCAACCCCUACUGUUAGUUGCCAGCAUGUCAUGAUGGGGACUCUAACGGGACUGCCGGUGCAAACCGUGAGGAAGGUGGGGAUGACGUCAAAUCAUCACGGCCCUUACGUCCUGGGCCACACACGUGCUACAAUGGCCGGUACAGAGAGCAGCCAUGCCGCAAGGCAGAGCGAAUCUAUAAAACCGGUCACAGUUCGGAUCGGGGUCUGCAACUCGACCCCGUGAAGCUGGAAUCGCUAGUAAUCGGAUAUCAGCCAUGAUCCGGUGAAUACGUUCCCGGGCCUUGUACACACCGCCCGUCAAGCCAUGCAAGCCGGGAGUGCCUGCAGUCGGUCACCGUAAGGAGCGGCCUAGGGUAGGAUUGGUAACUAGGGCUAAGUCGUAACAAGGUAACCGUA